GGCAGCACUGAUGACCAAAAAUGUAUAUAGCUGGCAGCCUACAUUAUCUGUCACUGAAAACGGCGGGAACAAAGUUAUCAACACAAGCAUCCAGAAAAAUAGUUUUUUUUUCAAUUAUUUUAUUAUUUACUUAAAAAGUAUUGAAUCUAAGGUUCAUUAUGGUCGAGAGAUACGGACGAUCAAGGAUCGUCGGAAAACCCGACUUGCACCAGUGUUGUUGAGUUGCUGCAGGAUAAAAACUAGCGCUUCAGCCGUCAGCAAUGUAUUUUGCUAACGACCAGCACAGUGACGAUAAAAAUUAUUGCCGGAAGCUAUUCCAUACUUCAGAGCAAUUUAGGAAGCCGGAGACAAACAAUUUGGUUUAUGAAUUUCAUGGAAAUGCACCUCAGAGACCACACCUCUAGAAAUCUCCUGGUAGGAACUACAAAAAAUGACGCGGCUUAUUACUGCAAACAUUAUUUCAACCAACAUGGAACCUGGAAAGAUGGAUCCCGGAAAGAACAAAACAACCAUACGCCUAAAAUCCAUGAUUAUUGAUUCGGAUUCUUGAAGUUGAAGCAAGCCAAUGGAAUACUCUAUCUACCGGAUUACAGAGAGAUACGACAGCAGGACCAAAGUGAAAUAAUGUACGCAUCAUAGUAACACACAGCAAUGACGUAAACAUUUAUCAAUAAAAUACAUUUUAUUUCAACUUUACAUUAA